UUCUAAUGAUGAAAAAUGUCCAGUUCUGCUACUGAAGGGGAAGAGAUGCAAGCCUUUGAGUGCUGAGGAA